rnacentral:rRNA from 1 species
AUUGAACGCUGGCGGCAGGCCUAACACAUGCAAGUCGAGCGAGCGGCGGACGGGGGAGUAAUGUCAGGGAAACUGCCUGAUGGAGGGGGAUAACUACUGGAAACGGUAGCUAAGACUGCAUACCAUAAGAUGUGCCCAGAUGGGAUUAGCUAGUAGGUGGGGUAACGGCCCACCUAGGCGACGAUCUCUAGCUGGUCUGAGAGGAUAACCAGCCACACUGGUACGGAGACACGGUCCAGACUCCUACGGGAGGCAUCGUUGGGGAAUAUUGCUCCAUGGGCGCAAGCCUGAUGCAGCCAUGCCGCGUGUGUGAAUCAGGCCUUCGGGUUGUAAAGCACUUUCAGCGGGGAUGCGUUGCCCGCAGAAGAAGCACCGGCUAACUCCGUGCCAGCAGCCGCGGUAAUUC